rnacentral:rRNA from 1 species
UACAGAGGUCUCGAGCGUUGUUCGGAUUCAUUGGGCGUAAAGGGUGCGUAGGUGGCUUGGUCAGUCGGAUGUGAAAUCCCGGGGCUCAACCCCGGAACUGCAUUCGAUACUGCCGGGCUGGAGUACUGGAGAGGAGAUUGGAAUUUACGGUGUAGCAGUGAAAUGCGUAGAUAUCGUAAGGAAGACCAGUGGCGAAGGCGGAUCUCUGGACAGUUACUGACACUGAGGCACGAAAGCGUGGGGAGCGAACAGG